rnacentral:hammerhead_ribozyme from 1 species
ACACUGCUGAGGAGUCCCAAAAUAGGACGAAACGGCUGUUCAGUGC